ACAGCAGUAGCCGCGGAAUACGAAGGGUGCAAGCGUUAAUCGGAAUUACUGGGCGUAAAGCGUGCGUAGGUGGUGGUUUAAGUCCGUUGUGAAAGCCCUGGGCUCAACCUGGGAAUUGCAGUGGAUACUGGGUCACUAGAGUGUGGUAGAGGAUAGUGGAAUUUCCGGUGUAGCAGUGAAAUGCGUAGAGAUCGGAAGGAACGUCUGUGGCGAAGGCGACUAUCUGGGCCAACACUGACACUGAGGCACGAAAGCGUGGGGAGCAAACAGGAUUAGAUACCCCGGUAGUCCCUGUCUCUUAUACA
rnacentral:rRNA from 1 species